rnacentral:rRNA from 1 species
UACGUAGGUGGCAAGCGUUGUCCGGAUUUACUGGGCGUAAAGAGCGCGCAGGCGGUCGUUCAAGUCGCGUGUGAAAGCCCCCGGCUCAACUGGGGAGGGUCACGCGAUACUGAUCGACUCGAAGGCAGGAGAGGGUAGUGGAAUUCCCGGUGUAGUGGUGAAAUGCGUAGAUAUCGGGAGGAACACCAGUGGCGAAGGCGACUACCUGGGUAGAUACUGACGCUGAGGUGCGAAAGCGUGGGGAGCAAACAGG